AGGGUCAGGUUGGAUGGUGCUUGGAGCAACCUGGGAGAGUGGAAGGUGUCCCUGCCAUGGCAGGAGUGGGAUGAAAUGCUCUUCAAGGACUCAUCCAAGCCAAACCAGUCUGGGAUGCUGCAAUUUUCUGAUUCUAUGAUCUGCCCCUUUUGCAGCACUUCUCAAGAGCAGAGGUGCCACUGUUAGGGGAGGGACAGAGGCAGCUCUUCUGCUGGCAGCUGUGUAGCAAAUCUCCCUGCAGAAAUACAUCUCAGAACCUCAGAACUCCUCAGAACUGGCCAAACAUCCCCAGGCUGGAACAGCAGAGCACAAAGGGCUGAUAUUGAGACCUUGGUCUUUAGCUGUGCAGGAGCUGAAAGCACAGGCUGUGCCUGGGGGAGGGAGGCCUGGGCAGCCUUUGGAACAGGAGCAGGAGCUCUCCUGUGCCCCACUGUGGGCACAGCUUCUAUUUAAAGGUGCCUUGGCCCAUGCAGGGAUGGUGGAACUGCCCUGCUGUGCACAGCCCUGAUCUCAUUGGGGUCAGCUCAGCACAGACACCUCUGGAGGAGGCUCCUGGCUGGGGACUUGGGCAGCAGUAGAGGAAAUCUGACUGUACACGGUAUCAUCCAAGUGUUCCAUCUCAGGGCUGUUGCUCAUGGCAUGCAGGUAGGAGGGGACAAGAAGGGAGGGCAGCUGAAGGUGCUACAGUCAGCUCAGUGUGGCCUAGGAAGGCCUUGAGCAACCUAUCUGCCCUCCCUGUCUGCUUUUCAUUAUUGUUUUUAUAGCCAGAAAUAAGAGCUUUAUUUGCUUUAUUCAUCUCUUGUCAGAUGCCCAAUCAACAUCUGGCAACGCAGUAAUUCCCAGAAAGUGCUGACCUAGUGAGAGCCAGUGGAGCAGGAGGUGUGCAGGGAGGUCUCCAUCCCCCUUCCCAUCCCUGGCUGCCCUUUUCAUUAUCUUCCCAGCACAAGUGGGAUGUAUAGCCCACCUGACUGGAUUUCAGAGCACCAGGCUCCUGGGAGAUCUCAGGGUUGGAAGGCACCUGAAAACAGCUGGAGGCAUGGAGAUAGGGGCAGGAGGAACUGAGCAGGAGACAGGGCGUCCCAAAAACUGCUGCUGGGCUGGAGUUGGCCCAUGCACAGGGAGGAGAUUGGAAAAAUGGGUCAGAAAGGAGCUGAUCCAUUCCUUUGAGCAGUGCUGGGUCGGUGUAAGGGAUGCACACAGCAGGGCAGAGCAGCUCAGCUCCCCCUCCUCCCAUCUGCCUUCAUUUGGAUUUGUACAGAGCUCAGAACUCAAACAUGAGAAUGCAGGGAACCUUCCCAAGAGAUCUUUGAUAGAGUUUCCUGCAUGUGAGACAAUUUUAAGAUCCAGUAGAAGAUUGAAUAGAGAAGAACCCAUUUUUAUUUACUUGGGUACAUAUUGGACUCAUAAUAAAAUGGGGUGUAACAAGCCAGAGGCAAGUUCUGUUCCACUGGGAGAUUAGCCAGAGUGUGGCUGCUCCAGCAGGUCCAGCAGGUUCCCUGUCAGAUCCCUGGGCUCCCACACUGGAUCUCUUGAGCCCCCUUUUCCCACAUGGUCCCGCCCUGUCUUCUCCCUCAGGUGUGGGUGGCUCGGUUUGGGCUGGAUUGUGGGACCUGCCUUUCCACAUCUUGGCUUUUCUUUGCCCCCUCUCCUACAUUCCAGCUCCAGCCAGUUGGUCAGGGCAGUUCCUCCCUCUUCUCUGUCAGAGUCCUCUCCCCACAUCUGGGUCCUUUUCUGCUGGUCACUUGCAUGGCAAGUUCCCUUCUGUUCCUGUGGCACUGUUCCUGUCCCUCUGAUCGUGCUCCUGUCCACACCAGCUGCUGCCCAGCUCUUUGAUGUGCUCUCCUGCCCCAAAAAUCCUCCAUGGGCUCUGCGGCCCCCCUGGAAGCCCUCCCCAAACCUCCACCCUGAGACAGCAUCUAACCAAGGCCACUUUGGCACUUCAGGUGGUUUUGUCACCUUGUGCCUGCACUUUGGUGCCUGUGAUGAGUGGAAUGGGUUCCCCUUUCCUCCUGCCCAGAAGUGGAGCCAGGGCACAUGGUCUCCAGGAGGGAAAAGCUGUACCCCAACACGGAUUUUCCCCGGAAUAGCAAUGAAACAAGGACUCAGACCCUCGCAGCCCAAAGCAAUGCCAGGGAGCCCGCUCCCAUCCUGCCCCUUUCUGGGACGUGCAGUGUCCCCGAGCCCCCAGAGCUGGGUGUCUGUGCCCACCCUGCACUCCAAAGCUGCAGCAGAAGACACAGAUCACUCGGAGGAAGGUCCCGAGCUGCCUCAUCAGCUGCCCACUCAUGUGAGCAAAUGCCACCAGUGGGAGCCGAGGCAUCGCAAUCCAGCCCAGAACGCUCCUUUGAAGACAUUUCAGCUGCUCAAUUAAGUUUCCACUUGUGUGUUUUCCUUUCCCCCCUUUGCUUUCAUGGUCAUUUAAAACAAAUAAAGUGAGCAGAACACGGCAGCGUGAUAACCACCCUUUAAUUCCCUUCCCACGGCUCUCCUGAUUAUUUGGUGAUUCAGCGGCAGCGGGGGGAACGCUUACGGAAAGGAAGGCAGAGCUUCCCACAGGGACAGCAGCUCAGAGCCCAGGGCCCCCAGCAGUGGGGAGGAAAGACGUGCCUCGGCUUCUCCUUUUCGGUCCCAUGGAUGUGCUGAAUGCAGCGCCGAGCCCGGGCCCUGCAACCGCAGCGGCCCCGCUCUCAGUGCCCUCCUUGUUCUCGCAUUGUGCUCUGGGGACGGCACCAGCGCUCGGGAUGUAUUUCACGCUUCUGUGCAAACACAAUAUGAGAUGAAGAAUUCAUACCCUUGCACAAGAUCGGAGUGGAUUUUCUCAUAAUAAGGAAAAGCAGCCAGAUCGGAGCCUGCCAAUUCCUGCCCCGUGCUCCCGCCUUCCCUAGGAAGUUGAAACAAGCCUGUGCUUUUAAACUGGGACAGAGAAGUGUAUUACAUUUUUUUAAAAACCAACACAAGUCCUUCUGGAUCUUUUUUACAUUAUUCCCCCCCACCUCUGUCUCGGUAGGUGACUUUUCCAGCCCUCCCCCACUUGGUCUGAGCGGGGGUGGAGGAGAAUUCCAUGUGUUUUAUGUGUGUGAACAAUUAAUAGUGGGGCUGCAUCUCGCUGGAAGAGCGUGUAAAACACACCCCAGGAGGGGGGAAAGAAGAACUGCCCAGCCUGAUAAACUCCAGAGCUUUUGCUGUCCUGGAGGAAAACGUGGUGUGGGGGUUUGCUUAUUCAUCAGCAGCAGUAAAUAGCGGGCCUCAUCUUCAGCUCUCCUUCAGCCACUUCUGCUUCUCCCCAGCCUCCAGGCUGGCAAGGAAAGGAAAUACUUGUUGUCCUGUGGGUGACAAAUUGGGGGUUUAUAGCUGCUCACAUUUUAGCUUUUGUUUCCUCCCUGAAAAGCUCUGUUCUCAUCCUUGUGGCUUUGUGUUUCCCAGCAUCCGAAUCCUGGAGUGCUCCUGCCAGGCUGACACUGGAGGUGAGUCCUGACCCCAGUGCUGUCACUGCCACAUCCCAGCCGGACAUUGUGCAUGCAGGUGCUUUUCCUGGGCAGGAUUCAGGGUCCACCUGAGUCAUUCCAUACAAUCUGAUCCUUUGGAACAGCUCUGUCAGCAGCUUCUCCUCCCUCCUGCAGCUCAUGGACAUGUUUCCAUCCCUGGGCACCCUGAAAGCCCCAACAAGCCACGAGUGGCCAGGACCUGCCGAAGCCUGUUGAUCCAGACACUGGACCCCUGAAACCUGUGCUUCCCCCAGCACCUCCAUAAAGUGUCCUGAGUCCAAGUGAUUCAGGGAGCGCAUUUCCGGACUGUCAGCGAGCUGCAUCCAUCACUCCCCUGCACAUGCACCAGAUUGUUAAUGCUCCAGGCCAAAUACCACGUCUUUUUUAAUGCCUACCAAAUGUAGUGCGUGCUGCUGGCUUUAUAUUUAUAAUAAUUAUUAAAGUAAUGGCACUAGCUGCAUUCCUAUAGGCUAGAAGUGGCCAGGAACAGACAAAAAAAAAUGAUUCAUUGUUCCAAUUAAUGCUCGAGCUCACACCGGUGAUUAAUUAGCCUGGCGAUAGUGCUAUGCAAAAGAUCAGGGUGAGAAUUAAUAGGGAGACACGUGCUGACUUUUAAGAUGGUUCCAGCACUCUUUAGUGCCUUUCCUUGGGCCUGUUUAAUUAGAGGCAGCGGCACGGGCUCGCUCCGCACCGACACCCCGACGGCAGGCACUGCGGAAUAUUUAUACGACAGGGUGCCGGGGAAAACUUCAAAAUUAAAUUCCCAUCCAGGUCUCUAAAUAUAAUUCUGAAAUGUCAGAGAUGCUGGGAAGAACGCUGGUGCUGGAUGAGGUUGCUGUCAGGGAGAGGCAAUAGUGUGCCAGAUUUACACAGGCCUGAAUAGGCAGGUGACUUUUCAGCCCCGGUGUUUAAGGAGCCUCAGGUGCUCUGAUGGACGUGUUUCACCUGCUGGGACACACAGGAUCCAAUGGGAACACGUGCUGGAGCCUUGUGUGCCUGGCUUGGAUGGGGGAGAUGGAGCAGGGGCAGCUCCCAGAGUUCCCAGGAGGCACAAACCACUCUGAGCACCAGCCUUGGAAGCUCGGGGAAUAAAGCCGGGCGGUACAGCCGGUGUCCAGGGCCAGAUGUGCCGCGUUAAAGAAGCAGAAAUCCGAGUUUAAAAGGACGGGCCCCUGGUGGUGCAGCAGGUACAGAAACCCAGGGGUUUGAGUCCUCGGCUGCUCUGUGAGAAAGUGAUUUAUCAGUAAAGCCAGGGAGUGGUGCCUCUUCAGCAGACACGGCUUGGAUGUCACAGCUCUUCAAGGGGGCUUUGUGAGAGCCUUUCUGGGGACACUUUGGUAAUAAAUUUGCUUUUAUUAAUCUGCUUUAAUUACCUGCUAAGAUUAGAAUGCUUGCUGCAUUUCUCUGGUGUCCAUUGUAGCUGCAUUUUUGCUUUAGAGGGUGAGUAGUUUCCCCGGAAAGGCAGGGAAAUGUAUGUACAUUGUAUAUUACAUGUAUAUCACAUUGUAUAUAUUACAAUAUUACAUAUUGUAUAUAUUACACUGUAUAUUACAUGUAUGAAAUGUAUGUACAUUUGCAUAUGCAUUUGCAUGGGCUAAUUAUAAACUCAUCUUCAGCUCUGCAAUAUCUGUACAGUAAAAUAGUUGUCACUGCUUGGAAAUGCCUGCUUUGGAGCAGAAAUCAGACCUUUUUUGUAAAAUCAUUUGGUCACAUCUUUGGGGUUUAGAUUUUCAAUGAAUAAUCAAUACCUGUAACAAAAGAUUUAAACAAAAAAAAAAAAGGUGUUCAUUGAAAUUUCUCCACAGCAAAAAUCGAUCCCAUGUAUUAUUAAAUACAAAGAGACUUAUGUCUUGAGUUUCAUCUCGCCACAGCUUAUAAUAACCCUUCAGAAGCUUGAAGCAGGGCUUUUUUUCAUUAAACAAAAUGUUGGAUUCCCCUGAGCAGCUCCCUGCUUCAUUACAGGCAUGUGUUGGAAGGUUCCUGUGCCCAGCAGCUCUGGCCUGGAGGGCUGAGCUCAUCCCUGCCCGUUUCCAUAAAAAAUGGGAAUAUUUAUUUCCAAAGUGGCUGCAAAGGGGUGUCAGCACACAAACAUCGACAGGGAAGUGCAUUUUCUGCAUGGCAGGUUUAAACAUCUGCUUCCUGAGCACCUGGCUGGGGGGAAGUGGGGCCAUGGAGAGGUCACUGGUGACUGAAGGUGCUGUGGGUGAUGCUGCAGCUCGUCCCUGGUACCCCCAGCCCGUGAUCCCUGACCUCAGAGAAGUCCCCAUCUCUGUGCAGUUGCUUGGACACUUCAGGACACAACAGCAUCCUAAGGCUGGGAAUACAAGGAUUUCCAGCUGGGGGAAAACCCUAAUUGCUCUGUCCCUUUAUCACUGGAUUUUCCAGAGGUGGGACUCCAAGGCAUCCAGGCAAACGUGGAAUAAAGAAAUGCUUCAGUCAUAUUUUCAUUCCCCAAGGCUGAGUUCCAGACUCCAAAAUAGGAUUACCAGGGUGAGAUGCAGCUGAGUUUCACCUCUGCCACCCUUCAGCAGCUUCUGCUGCAGCCCUGGGAGAGCUCUGGGGAUGCAGAUCCUCGGUGGGAUGUGUCAGGCUGGAUUGUCCUAAUCCAGGGUGUCCUGACUGAGCCAGCUGCAGAGAUUUUGUGACAAGCCAGUGCAAACCGUUCCUUCGGCUCACAGAGAUUUGUUUUGCAGCACAAAAAUAAGCAGCAAUGCAAAUAUCAUACUCUGUUUUAUUUCCCCCUGUCUUUUUUCCCUCUUUGCUCCAGGAAAGCAGGAGGAGGCGAGGCAGGAUUGACACUUUCUCCUGCCGAGGGCUUUUCCUGAGAUGCCUGCUGGGAACACUCCUGUGUGUUUCUCUUUAGGUGGGAGCUCUUUUGAUUUUCCUGCUGCCGAAGUCGCACCAAGGUGCCUGGAGAAGGAUUUGCUGCUUGCUUAUGAAAUCCAUUCUCCCUCGAGGAUCUGCUCUUUCCAGCUUGAUAAACUCUUAAUUCUUGCUGUCUAACACCACCGAGGGACUGAGUUUUGUGCCUUGAUGAGUGUUUGGUGAUUGAUGUUCAUUUGUGCUUGCAGGAGAUCAGUAACCUCAUUUCAGUUUUGCCAGAACAUCUCAUGAGAGCUCCAUGUCCUUCUCCCGUCUGGGUCAGGUACAAAUGAAAGAGAAAAUGAAGAGGCUGUGCAGAGCCACCCUGUCACCACAGGGCUCCAUCCUGGCACUGUUUGUGCCCCACAUUGCACAGGGCCAUGUGGGAAAGGACCUGGCUAUUUUUGCUAUCAUCGCUUUAUCUUGGUUUUAGUCUUGGUUCUGUUCACUGUCUGGGAUAUUUGGAAGGAGCUGUUGUAACUUGGCAUGGGAGUAGAUUGCUUAAAUAUUACCUCACAGAGUCGAUGUAAAUUUAGAGUAGAUAAGACUUGGACCCCAAAUACCUUUUUUAACCCUUUACUGUCUUUUCCAAGUCCAUUCCCUCUGCUCUUUCUGAGCUCUUUCAGGCAGUUUUGAGAGGAAGGUGACUCCUGUUUUGUCACUUGUCUGUGAUACCCAAACAGUUUCUGCAUGGCCAGCAGAGACAUCUUUCACUCACCCCUGCACGUGCACACACAGGUACCUCCUCUGGGGAGGGAUUUGUCAACAGAAGAAAUCUCAGAGGGAAAAUGCCCAUCAUGAAGAAUUCACAGAAAAUACACAAUCCUAUACCCAGAUAAUAUCACCCACCACCCUGUGACACAGAUUUCAGAGAGUAAAUGUCAUUUCCCUUUAAAAAUCCAUUUUCUUUCCUUAGGAGGAAGGACACUUAGAGCACCUGUACUGAAAGGGAGAAGGUGAAGGAGCCUGCAAGUAUUCCCUGCCCCCUCUGAUCUUACGCAGAUUCUAAACACAGGUCUGGUUGCUUCUUAUUUAUUUUUCCUCUCUGCUUUUUUGCUUUGAAGUAUCUGCCUGUGUUCUCAAUGAAGAACAGCUGAGAGAUCAGGAAAAUGGCUUAAGAAUUCAGCAGGCUGUGAGCUAUUUGGAUUGAAAACAGUGCCUGGGAGAGAGCUCUUCACACUGCCUUGCUAAACAAUCUCCUCCUGUCACCAUCGGCGGUUGCUGUCCUUUGUUUGUCAUCUUCCCUCUGACUCUCCAGAGCCUUCAAGGAUGAAAAAAGAAGGACGAAGGAGGCUCCUUUUCUUUCUUCUUUGUUAAAUUCCCCCAAGCCCUGGUUUAAAAACCCACAGCACAGCCCUUAUGGCCCAUCUGCCGUUGUUUCAGGUUUGCUCCAUGGCUUUGUUCACCAUUUCCCCACUAAGCAAACCCUGGAUCCUUGGGAGCCACGAGCAGGACCCAGGUGCCACCCUGAGCUGCAGCUCCCCCUCUGUGUCCUGCCAAAGAGGAGCUGCCCACAGGACACCCAGGCACAGAUUCUGGAGCGUCUCAAAAAAGCCAUUUUUGUUUAGAAAUUCCUGUUGUUGUUGUUCCUGCUGACCUCUGUGGGCUGUAUCUUUUCCAAAUGUUUCUGACGUUUCUCACAGGGUGAUCUGUGAAUGUCACAGACAAGAAUUCUGCUGACUUCAGUUUGGCUUCUGCUUCCCAUUGGAUGGGCUCCCCUCUUUAUGGGGGAAUGCCUCCAGCCAAAAAGAGAGGAAGAAACCCCCAGCCCCCGAGCUAAGUGAAAGCAGGCCCAAAGGGAAGCGCGUUCCAGCCGCAGUGCCUCUCGCUGGCUGGCUUCUGUUCCGUGCUUGGGGACGUGCCAGGCUCCAGUGCCUCCGUGCUUUUGAUUCCUGUUUAUCCCCAGCAACAUGAUUGUCUAUAAUUAUAUAUAAUCUCCUCCUUGUUUACUCGUCUUCCUCCAGGUCUGAACGCAAGCUCGAUGGCAACUCUCUGCUCCGUCUGCCAGGGCUCCAACCGCUCCUCUCCAUCCUCCACCUUCUUUUUCCAAAGUAACAAAGCCAUUGGAUUUCCUCCCACCCCUUCCCUGCGCCUCCCCUCCCCCCUGCUGGCACCGGGGUUAUUUAUACAGAAUGUGGAAACAAUUUGCAGGAAAGUGAACAAUGUAAAGUGGGAGCGAGGGAAGGGAGGCAAGUUUGUUGUGCAUGCAGACAGCCCCAGCAGUGAAACGCUGCUUUUUGGGGAGCACAGGGAGCAGACUGUUUUCCUUUCUUCCUUCUCCCUUCUCUCACCAUCUCCCUGAGCUCUUUCCAUCCUGCCAGAGCCAAGGCCAAACCAGAGCAACCAGAUCUGAGUGUAUUUUGGAGGGUGUUCAGGUUGGAUCCCGCCCUGCAGCUCCGUGAGGCGGUAUCUGUGGAUUUAAUCCCCUCGGAGGUUCUGCUCUCGGAGCGUUCCUGCUCCUGGAUUAGCAUUAAUGAAGAGCAUGUGUGCUCCAGAGGUCCUGCUCCAGACCCUGGAGCUGCAGCACUGCCUGGUGUUACACUCAGCUAUUCCCAGGAGCAGUCGGGCUCAAAGAGGACAUUUCUGGGAGUGAACGAGGCAGGAACUUUUAGCAAAGUCUAAUUUCAGUCUUUCUGCCCUCACCUGCCGAGCGUUGCAUUUCCAGGGCAUCCCAUUGGGAGUGUGUCUGUAAAUCCUGCAGUUUUUCUGAGUGCUUGGGGCUGGGGGAGCUGAACCAGCACUCACCCAGCGCCUCUGAGCACUUCUGGGCUCUUCAGGCCUUGCUCUGCACAAAGCCCUCAAAGAGAGAUAAUCCAAACACACUCAUCCCUUGGGAAGGGCCAGCGGCGUUGCAGAGGGAAGGGAAUGUGAUCCUGGGUUCCAGGUUGGAGCAGAGCAGCUGCCCUGGCCACAGUGGGGUCUCCUCUCCUCCUGGAGCCUCCUUUCCCAAUAGCCCCAGCCUUGGGAUGGGAUCUGUGCAUUGUGCUGAGCUGUAGGGCCAGGGAGCUGCCAAGUGGGACAGCAGGUUCCUCCCUAAAGCAGGCAGAUUCCUGGCUCAGAACUGCAGCUAUGCCCUUGUGAUCCAGUGGCACAGAGGGACAGUCACAAGGAACCUCUGGUGGACUUUUCCUUCCUGAGAAUCCAUCCUCUCUGCUUUCCAGUUCUUCCUGCUCCUUUUCAGUCAUUGUCCUGAGACAUAAACUUUGAAAAAUUUAAAAUUUUAAAGAAGCUGAGGCCUUAAUUAAAAGUAAACCUUGCUAAAUCUAAUUAAAAAAAUAAAUAAAUGGGCCUGACUAAAAUUAAAGAUAGGUAGGUAGGUAGGUAGGUAGGUAGGUAGAUAGAUAGAUAGAUAGAUAGAUAGAUAGAUAGAUAGAUAGAUAGAUAGAUAGAUGGAUAGAUAGAUAGGAAGCUUUGCUAAAAGAAGAGGUUAAUCAUUAGCUAAUAAUUAAUUGUCUGUCAACUUUAUGCUUGUUCAGCUGGGCUUAUAAGGAGAAACAGAAUCUGUCUAAGAAUCUGGUAAAGAACUUCAAGAACAGAAGACAAUUGCAAAUCAGAAACCCAUUGAAGACAGGAAACCAGGAGCCCAGCCAAGGGUCCAUUUGUCACUUUGCAUUGAAAAGGUAGAAAGGUCAGAAGGAGGAAGAGCCAUAUCCCUUCCUCCCUUCUGUGACCCCUCCCCAAAAUGAGACCACCAACCCAUUUCAAGGAACAGACUAUGAAUGCUUAAUCGCUUUUUUAAAUUAGCAUAGAAAGUGGAGAGUGGGUGGUAACUGGAUUAUGAAUAUGCAUUUGUAUUCAAUACCUCUGUAAAUAAAAAGCCUGUAUUCACCUGUA